ACAGUGUCUGGUGGGUAGUUUGACUGGGGCGGUCUCCUCCUAAAGAGUAACGGAGGAGCACGAAGGUUGGCUAAUCCUGGUCGGACAUCAGGAGGUUAGUGCAAUGGCAUAAGCCAGCUUGACUGCGAGCGUGACGGCGCGAGCAGGUGCGAAAGCAGGUCAUAGUGAUCCGGUGGUUCUGAAUGGAAGGGCCAUCGCUCAACGGAUAAAAGGUACUCCGGGGAUAACAGGCUGAUACCGCCCAAGAGUUCAUAUCGACGGCGGUGUUUGGCACCUCGAUGUCGGCUCAUCACAUCCUGGGGCUGAAGUAGGUCCCAAGGGUAUGGCUGUUCGCCAUUUAAAGUGGUACGCGAGCUGGGUUUAGAACGUCGUGAGACAGUUCGGUCCCUAUCUGCCGUGGGCGCUGGAGAACUGAGGGGGGCUGCUCCUAGUACGAGAGGACCGGAGUGGACGCAUCACUGGUGUUCGGGUUGUCAUGCCAAUGGCA
rnacentral:rRNA from 1 species